AUUGAACGCUGGCGGCAGGCCUAACACAUGCAAGUCGAACGAGUGGCGGACGGGUGAGUCAUGUCUGGGAAACUGCCUGAUGGAGGGGGAUAACUACUGGAAACGGUAGCUAAUACCGCAUCCCAUCGGAUGUGCCCACAUGGGAUUAGCUAGUAGGUAGGGUAAAGGCUCACCUAGGCGACGAUCCCUAGCUGGUCUGAGUGGAUGACCAGCCACAAUGGAACUGGGACACGGUCCAGAGUCCUACGGAAGGCAAAAGUGGGGAAUAUUGCACAAUGGGCGCAAGCCUGAUGCAGCCAUGCCGCGUGUGUGAAGAAGGACUUCGGGUUGUAAAGCACUUUCAGCGAGGAGGCGUUACUCGAAGAAGAAGCACCGGCUAACUCCGUGCCAGCAGCCGCGGUAAUAC
rnacentral:rRNA from 1 species